CAGUGAAACAUCCAACUGGAUUGCAGCAAAUACCAAGGAAUGUCCCAAAUGUCAUGUGACCAUUGAAAAAGAUGGUGGCUGUAAUCACAUGGUGUGUCGAAACCAGAGUUGUAAAGCAGAGUUCUGCUGGGUUUGUCUCGGCCCUUGGGAACCUCACGGCUCUGCUUGGUACAACUGCAAUCGCUACAAUGAAGAUGAUGCCAAGGCAGCCAGAGAUGCUCAAGAG